GGUUGAUAGGUCAGAGGUGUAAGUGCGGUAACGUAUUUAGCUGACUGAUACUAAUAGGUCGAGGGCUUGACCAA
rnacentral:rRNA from 2 species